GGUUACUGCAAAUUGUGGUAUAAACCAACAGAGAGUAGCUGUCUGCAACAUAGUUGCAGUUGCAAGACUACUUAAUGCAACUCUUGUUAUUCCCACCUUUAUGUUCAGUAGCGUGUGGAGAGACACGAGAUAUAUAUCAAGAGGACUUUUUUAUUGAUUACCUGAAACCCGAUAUCCGUAUAGUGAAGGAAUUGCCAAA